AGCCAGGGGCUCUGUGGGAGCAGAAGGAACACGUUCCCAUGACAGAUUUCACACUCUUCAAAAACACGAAAAAAGAAAGCUUCAACAUGCUGCUGCUGAUCCUGUUUUCUGGUUUGGCCUCGUGUGCUGCACAGUCAACACCCUUUCCCUCCUCUACUCUGGGGAUUUCAACCGUGACGACUACUCCCUUUCUACAAUCAAUCCAGACAACAGUCCUUCCCACGUCUAAUUCAAUAAACAACACUGUGGCAAUCCUUCAGACAGCUGUUCAGUCCAGGUUUGAGCUAAAUGGAAGGACAGUUACUCUGAUCUUAAAAGAGCUCCACAACAUUAUCCAGAGGUCCGGACCAAAUCUGAAAUUCACUCUGAAUAUAAAGAACGUCACUAAAGUCUGAAACCUUCUCACGUCACAGUUUUCUGCGUUUGUCCACUUGUUUCACUGGACUUGAAAAAAAAAAAAAAAAAAAAAAAAUUAGGCUUUUGAAAAUCCUCUAUGUGGAUAAGGAGGAUCAUCAGUGGUGUUUUUUUAUACAUGCGUUUAAUUUUACUUUUGGAAAUACCCCUUAAAAAUGUAACAUUAAGUUGUUCAUUGGCUUGUUAAAUGGGAGAGAGAUUUUAACUACUCCAGGCUGGCGGGAGACAACACAACCCGUUCGAGUGUGUGACUGCCAGCCUAGUAUACCCAAACAGUUAAAGCAGAAAAAUGACAGACAUGCUGUGUUGUGUAGUGGGUGGUUCUGAAAAGCCAAUUUCUCAUUUGAAUUCAAGCAGUCCUUUAGAUUCAGAAUCAGGAAACUGACACAAGUGAAACCACAGUUAAAAGCAAAGUGAGCAUUUAGACAGACACUCAAGGAUUCAAAGGAAGAUAAUAUUACAGAUGACAAGUUUGACAAUAAGAAAAAUACAUGAAUAAAAGUGCACCUAAACCUCAGUCUGUGUGAUAAGAAAAGACAGACAGACCGAUGUUUGUAAGUGCUGCUUUAAGUAAAUUUUCUGAGUAAAAAUUGUCUGUUAAAAAUCAUGACAGGAUGACGCCAAUUUCAAAAAGCAGAAAAUGUCUUUAUACAUUUUUAAGUUAAAACAAUAACAAAUCAACAACAGGGUAAUUAUAAUGAUUACAAUAAUAAAAAAUAAAGAAUUAUGAAAAAAUAACAAGGGAAUGUUUUGUUGUUCAUUGGCAUGUUCUUGGUGCAGUUCAACUUUAAGCCACUAGAGGACAACAUACACUGAUGUUUAAGGCUUUGAGAUGGGCCCCAACCAUGGAUGUAUUAUAAUCCACGGCCCCAACCCUCCUCUCACACAAUUCUCAUCUUCAUCCUGCUCACAUGACACUUUUUCACCAUCUACUACUAAAGCACAAUGAAGUAUUUUGUUUGGAAUUUUUUCUUUUACUCAGUUCUUUAAACAGUGCACAUCU